rnacentral:rRNA from 1 species
GACGAACGCUGGCGGCGUGCUUAACACAUGCAAGUCGAACGAUGAUCAGGAGCUUGCUCCUGUGAUUAGUGGCGAACGGGUGAGUAACACGUGAGUAACCUGCCCCUGACUCUGGGAUAAGCGUUGGAAACGACGCCUAAUACUGGAUACGACUGCCGGCCGCAUGGUCUGGUGGUGGAAAGAUUUUUUGGUCGGGGAUGGACUCGCGGCCUAUCAGCUUGUUGGUGAGGUAAUGGCUCACCAAGGCGCCGACGGGUAGCCGGCCGGAGAGGGUGACCGGCCACACUGGGACUGAGACACGGCCCAGACUCCUACGGGAGGCAGCAGUGGGGAAUAUUGCACAAUGGGGGAAAGCCUGAUGCAGCAACGCCGCGUGAGGGAUGACGGCCUUCGGGUUGUAAACCUCUUUUAGUAGGGAAGAAGCGAAAGUGACGGUACCUGCAGAAAAAGCACCGGCUAACUACGUGCCAGCCGCCGCGGUAAUAC